GCAUCGAAAAGUGCUGCUUGGCUGUCAAAGAUAAUGGCAAUGUGUGGGAAGACCUUAAUCGUGAAGUAUUCCGCCAGCAAUGAGGCUUUAGCGCGGGGCAUCGACAUUUAUUGCAUCGUCGCCAGGCUCUGCCACGCGUACCAUGAGAACAGAACACCGCACCCAUACCCGGAACGAACGUUUGCAAGCAGAAUCCGAAAUUGCUUGGAGAAGACAACGAUCGUGGGAGGCAGGUGGAAUAAG